rnacentral:lncRNA from 1 species
CAACACGACAUCCCUCUCCAGCUCAUUCCAGCGCAUUCCACCAGUUGCUCUCUGCCGCGCCCCUGGCCCCUCUGUGCGAGCUCGUUCCAUAGCCGGCUUCGAGCUCGCCCUGCUCGGUCAUGGCGUGGACACCAGACGAGCUCCCUAGUGCUCGCCCCUCUCCAGCCGAGCUCCUCUCAUCUCUCCCUCGCGUCUUCCUCUCCCUGCCAUGGACGCCGGAGUUCCGCUACUCGCCAUGGCUGCCGGACGAGUCUCUUCCGUCUUUGCUCGACAUCUUCGAGCUUGGUUCCUGCGUGCGCGCUGCACUACUCCCAUGGCGUGUUCCUGCGCCCGGCUGGAUUUCCCUGCUGAGCUCGGUCACAUGCCUGGGCACCGUGUUCUGCACGCUCGCCGGUUUCUUCGCCUCCAUCAGCCGCGGCAACGUGCUCUUGCUGGCGCCCCUAGUCACAACUCGAGUUGUCUUUCUGGCUGGCCACCAGCGUGUCGUCUAGGGACGAUUCUUCACUGUUGCUUCUCCACGGCCGUCACCUUCCAUGGCCGGCGUUCCCCUCUCUUCCAUUGCCGCGAUGCUCCCUCGCUCCUGCUGCUCGCCGUGGCCAGCAGCUUCAAAUCCUUGUAGCAUGUCUCCGCACUCUGCGUCAUCACCGUCGUGGUUUUUGGAGUUCGUCGUGACGCGCUGCCGAUGAUCUGUGUAUAGCGGGAGAUCUUCGCAAGUUCACGCAGCUUCGUGGUAAUUAAUUUUGAUGGUGAUUUGUGUUAUUUAGCGCUAUGUUUGUUUCCUUUGUGUGUUUUUGUGUGCGACCGUGGAGAAAGAUUUGAUGCUGAAGCCGAAGCCAGCGCGAUGCUUCUCGAUUGUUCGAUGAAAUGGUCAAGUUGAGUAUUAGUGAACUAUAUUCGCUACCUCCGUUAGCAGAGUUAUUAGAUGGAUUAGCUAAGUAUGUUGAUUUGAUUAUCUUAUUUGCCUAUACCCAUAGUGGCGGUGUUAGAUAUUGGUUCAACUGCUUCGUAUAUACGGUGUGUAGUUUAAUUAAUAUCGUAAAAUAUAGUUUUAGUAUUCGAAACGAUUAGCUGUUAAGUCCUGAUAUUGUUGAUUGUACUAAUUGUAUUUAUAUAGUAAAAUCGAUAGCCUGUCUUAAUCGUCUUUUUAUCCUAUAUGUAGUAGUCGAUUAAAUGUCAUGGUUAGAUGUUACUUGUGCUUCCGAAUAUUUAGAACCGAGCCACAUUGAUGAAUUUGCUUCCACUAAAAUAUGUGAUAUACAAGUUAGUCUAAGUGAAUAAUUUAGAAAUACUCAUUAAGUUACUUCUGUUCUAUAUUAAUGAACCUAGAUUUUUGGUGAUCUUUUGAUGUAUGCGCUAGCUUUAAAAAAAUAUAGAACCUAUGCAUGGUUUAAUAUUUCUUGAUAUUUGAGUUAGGUCUGGUUAAGAUAGAGAGGGUGAUUGUUGUAUUUAGUAAUAUGUUGAUAUUAGUAUCAUGAAUGUUGUAAUGCAUCUCGCCUUUAAGUGUUUAAUUCUAUAUCGUGUAGCAUUAUUUAGGUUUGUAAUAUUCAUGUUUAUAUGCAUUCAUGUGCAUUAUGCAAAUCAUUUAGGUACGUUUAUUGACUACGUGAUACGGAGGAUCAGAACUGAGUCGACCACAAGAUGUCGCCGCGCGUGAGUUUCUCCACAAGAUGAUGCUGACGGACGAAACUGAAGAUGGACAGACGAAGCAAGUAUCAGAACAAAAGGAUGAUCGCCAAGUGGUCGUCGUCUAACAAACACUAACGUAGUGUUUAUUCCAGGCAAGCCCCGGUGCAUUUACCCCUUCCUUGUGUUUUUAAAAAGAUUUUUAUACACUUUAAGUCUAGCGAAAUGUGCAUUAAGUUUAUAGGAGUUGCUUGGAAACCCUUUGAUGCAUUGCCUACCUUGAUAUCCAUACCUUUAUAGAUACUUCUGGUGAAGUAUCAAAACAUGAUUUACAAAAAUGCUUAGCCCUGCUUAUAAGCAGAUGGAGUUUGUCCUUUGCACUUAUGCCCAGCUCAGGUUUAUCCUGAGGAAGGAUGGCUUCUACCUGCAACAAUAUUUUUCUUGGGAGCAUGGUGGGAUCUUACUGCAAAGUUCCCUAUAAUGCUCUUUUCAUCCUAAGGAACACAAAACAAUCCUAAGGAUGGAAGUACUUAAAUCGGGACUUGGGCUAGGAACAGGUGAUGCUCCGCCCAAGUUAGUUAAGGAUUGGAUGCGUAUGUAGGCCUGUAUGAUCAAGGACUAUCUUAACUAGCCACAUGCCCUGGAUAUGGGACAGGAUAAGCUUGAACCCGGCUAUUCCAUACAUGAAAAGACAAUCGCGCACUGGGAGUGGAGAGAUGGCGAGAGUGGCACGUACCCUCCUGGCAAAGGACCGCCUAAAAAGGGUGGUGUGCUCUCGGGUGGCGCGGACCUGUUCAUGCAGUGGAGGAUCCGUGGGAAUGGUUGACAUAUGCAAGGGUUAAGUGCUACAUAUGUCGUGUGGUUAGAAAUCCUCAGCUGAGUAAAUCGAUUCGGAUCGCCGUUAUAUCCCCGGAGAGUGGAGACUUGAUCGCUGCCCUGCAACCUAAGUCAGGAUGUGAACCUCAUGAAUAAAAAUGAUGUUGUAUUGAUGAGAUGGUGAAAUUAGACCAGAUGCAAAUAGAGUCUAUUAAUAUUUAAUCUGACGUUAAAAUAUUGAAAGUAAGGACUCACUUUAGUAAGCUAUUUCUGCAAAAGUAUCUAAGUUGAUUUUUGCUAAAGCCUCUCCUUGAUUCCCAAAUCCAGCAUAUCCUUGAGAGUCUUUUCUUUAGUCGGGUAAGUCUUGCUGAGUAAUUCCAUACUCAGGGUUUUAUUCCCUAUUGUUUUUCAGGUCAUAGUUUUGUGCUGCUGAUGAUGGUGUUAAGUGUCGGUGGGCUCGACCUUCUUAUAAGUCUAAGUAACCCUUCUAUACUUCUUAAUGAGGAUGGUCCCUUGAGCUAGCAUAUAUUUCAAACUUAUACUUUUGUAAUCACUCCGAUAAACUAAUGUAAAAUUUUUGUAACCUGUAAAAUUUGGUAGUAAGAUUUACGCUGCAACAAUAUUGGUGUGUGUGAUUUGUGUUACUUAAUCCCGCGGUUCUGGUUGUAAGUGGUUUAUCCGAUGUCCUUGGGACACUCGGACGGAUCCUGUUAAGUUAUUUGGUGCACAUGCAUAGUCGUCUGAGGUCUUUGAGACAAGGACAGGUGCAUGUGGGCCCAAUAACUUGGGAGGUUCUGCCACAGCUGGUAUCGGAGCAGGAUUAAGUAUAAUACGGUCACAUACAUAUUUUAAAAACAAAGUUUUAGUUUUAGAAAACCUAUUUUCAACUUAACACAUUGUUGGCUUUGAAAAACAGUUUUGAAAAACUAUAAUGCUAGCGACAUCCUCUAUUAAGCCCUAAAUUAAGGACUAUCAGGUGGCUUAGUUGAAAACCAUAACCUGGUGGAUAUUGCAUACAUGUGUAUUGUUAUUUUUGAGGCCAUUCAGUUUUGAAUGGAUCGACGCUCAAGGUAAGGUGAGAUGUGAGAGCAUGACCGAACAACCGUCGGUCUAGGGAAGAGUGUAAAAAGCGCUUGACUAUAUACAUGUUCUACAUAUGUAUAUAUGAAGGUUGCGAUGUGGAGUAUUUACUUUUCUGGGAAUUCAGUACCCCAUGGAUGUGUAUGGGUAUACAGACAUGGGAAUACUGAGAAGUGUAAUGUACUUGUAACGACGCACCUACGCUCAGGUGAGAAGGUAAGUUACCAUAAUGAGUUGCCCUAUGGUUAAAGUGUGGCAACGGCGCCUAUGCCUGGCUCGGCGCUUAAUGAUGAGCUAGCCUCCAUAUAGAAAUAUAUGGAGUAUAAACUGUGAUAAACUGUCAUGUGUGAACUGCAUCAUGGGAAAAUGGGCUGUGAUGAAAUUUUCUGCAGGUACACUAACCUCGAAAACGUAUGUGUAGCUGACGACUAGCAAAAUACCGUGAGAGUCGUUAGUAUGCCACCGAGAUAGAACGCUAUCGCCACAUUAUGUUGGCAAACUCGUGAGGACGUCUAGGACGAGCAUGCAUCCUGAUUGUUGCAUCAUGUUUGUCACCUAUACACCCAAAAUGCUUCUCUCAUCUUUGUUCCAGUAACCAUUGAUUGUAGAUAAUGUGGUGUAAUGCUGAAUUAUGAACUUCGAUGAAAUAGCUAUCCUCUGUUCUUUAGGUAACCUGUUAAGGUCUUAUAUGGUGUUUGCUCUUGUGCUGGAAGUGCCGAUAGAAUGUUUGUGACCUAUUUGUGUAAACCCUAAACUAGACCAUGUUCGUGUUUAGUGAACCAUGACCCUAAAGUUGAUUUUUCCGUUACCCUUCCUUGACCCAAACUUAUACAAAUAAAUGCUUAGAUAAUUUCUUUGCUGGACAUAAAGUGUACCCUAGCUUAAAACAAGAAUCUCAAGUCAUGUUUCCAACCAAAACCAUUCCCUUGUUCGGUUGGUGCAAGCUGAUGUCCCUUAUCCAGUUUUGGCUCUUCUUAUGGAUCAUGUCGUUAUUUUAUCAACCUAACCUAGGAAAGACAUGUCCGACCAUUUUCUUGAGUUUGAUGCCUUUGGUUUCUCCAUAUUUAUCGAAGGCAUACUAAAUUAAUCCUUGACCUUGUAAUCGCUACAGUGGGUAUCAGUAACAGUCUCCCAUCAUACUCCUUUUAUCAAGUUUAGGUUAUGGCCAUGCCUUGUUCAUUUCAUCGGGCCAUAAUCUAUUUGGCUCUCUACUUGUAACCGUUUUGACAGGUAGAGUCUCUUUGUAUAUUGUCACCCUUGCCUAAUCCAUUGGUGUCGCGCGAAGUUUCUUAUUGGUUAUGUCUGGUAAUGGUGCUAUGACUAAAACUGAUGGUGCCGUGACGAAACCGAGGGCCUUCUGUGUGUGCGCACACAUGGUUGUGCUGCUCGGCACGCGCUGGUAUCACAGUUAGUAGUUGUAAUCCAUUAUGAGACUAUGUCAAUGCGUUAUCUUGGCACAAUCUGUUUUUGCUAUGUGAGAUUGUUAUUGGUGCCAGUUCGGUAGUGGUGUCACGAUUAAUGACUUAUGGUGCCGCAGCGAAACUGAGAGCCUCCUGUGAAUGCGCACACAGGACUGUGCUACUCGUCGGAUGCUGGUAUCAAGGUCUCUGGUCAUGAUCCAUUGUGGAACUACACUAAUGUGUUAUCUUCCAUAAACUACUUCCUUGAAACAAUUUCUAUGUUGUUUGUCAAGUGAUCAAGCAACAUCCAUCAUCUCUGUUGGAUCAAAAGGGCAUACCCCUUUAAUGUGUGGUCUCUUGUCCCUUUACUUUGGUAGUGACUACACACAUACAAGUUCCCUUUAUGUCCUUUGUGUAAAGGUGAAGCCUUGGAGCUUUUUAGUGUCGAGAGACAACUGAUUAGCUCUCAAAAUGGUGAUCUGUUUCCCCUGCUGCUGAGAUGCAGGAGUUUAUUCAUUCGCUCUCUUAUUUAAUCCAUGUAUUCCCGAACCAAGUCAAUUCAUCUCGCAUGGAAGAAAUGGAUGAACAACCUGACCAAAUGGAUUUCUAUCCAAAUACAUGAUCUUUUGCUAGCAGAUGUGAACUCUCAACCCUUGGCUUACCGAUGGUACUGAGAGGACAUGCCCAAUGUCAAAAGUAGUUCAACAAGUUGGUUUUACUAACUUGUAACUGCACUGUAACAAAGGUUGAGUUUAGAGAUCGUUUUAUCGAUUUGCCUGAACUCACUUUGGUUCAACCCACCCUAAAGAAAGUACUUACAAGAAUCAAGUUAAGUCGACUAAUAACCACCUAAUUAUCGCUCUAGCCAUGCCUCAAUCGUCUCACGUGUGCUUUUCCAGCAUGUGUGAUUAAGUCGAUCCAUGAUUAGUGCUGGAUAAAAUGGAGUGGUUGUAAAGUUCGUAUCUACUGAUCCAUCCGCUGGUGAUUUUCUCGAAUCUAUAUCACCUUUCAGGGACUUGGAUUUUUUGGUUAGCCACGAGUCAACUGUGAUGUUAUUCGACAUUCACACCCGUCUCUUGUGCUAAGAACUUACCAUGACCGCUUGUUGGUAAACCCCUUUCUGUGUGUUUUACCCAAGAGGUUGCAUCUGGUUCUGUUUGGGUAAGGUCAUAUAUCUACCGCUCACCCAACAGAAUCAGAUAGUAUGGUGUCAUCAGGAAAAAGCAAACUGCACACAUGGGACCUUAUGUGUUCUUCUGGCAGACAUCGUCUCUAUUGGUGGACAUCUCUAAAUUGGCUUAAGUCGAUACAUGUUAUGCCCACUAGAGAAACCACAUCCUGAGACACUUGCCUUCGCUCAGAACUGCCUUAUGAUUAUCGCUGAUAUGGACGUGGGUUACAUGCUUCUCUACUCUUGAAAGUCUUUCGCUCCGAAUCUCGGGACGAGAUUCUUUUAAGGGGGGAGGGCUGUAACACCCCAGGUGUUUAUAUUCCGCUCGACAACGAGUUCGGAUUUAAGCACGUAAUAUAAGUGGAUGAAACGGAUACUAAAAUUUAAUCGUCUUCGCCUAUUGUGAUUUUAAUAUCGCAUCUCUUUCGUCUGUCGCGGGUGCGACAUCGUUUUUAUUUCAUCUAUUCGGGCUCGUCCUAAAUUUUUGUGUUGUUCGGAACAUAGUGGUUCCGAAAAUCGGUGCGUCCGGUGAUUAUUUAAAAUUCAUCGCUCGCGUAUAUACGAAUUUGGAAAUUUAUUCCAGUCCUCCGAUUUCUUCUCAAACGAGAUUUAUUAGAACUCGACAACUAAAGUUUUAGGUGAAAAAUAAUUCUAUCUCAGCCCAUUAGCUGAGAAAUCACAUCCGAGGAUUUGAAAUUGAGAUUUAUUCGCUCAGUAAAUUAUCUACCCUAAAUUAAAUCAAGCGCAGGCUGUACUAGUUUGACUGGUAUCUUUUAUUUCAUCCAGCUUACUCCCGCGUAGAUUUAAUUUGAGAACUAAAUUAUCUGUAUAGUCUUUUGUGUAAAAAAAAGAGAAGAAAAAUUCUAUUUUUCUUUCACCAUUUUAUAUCCCAGUAUUAUCUCUUCCCCAUCGUAACUUCUCUCAUCCAAUGGACAGCGUUCUUCGUUUUUUUUUUUCGGCCACCGCUUUGGACUUCUGUAUUAUCCCGACGCCGCUUUAAUCCCUGGAGUUCCAUCUCCCGUAGCUGUACUUGGUCUUAUCCGUGUACAGAGCUCGUUCAUUUCUCCAACACGACAUCCCUCUCCAGCUCAUUCCAGCGCAUUCCACCAGUUGCUCUCUGCCGCGCCCCUGGCCCCUCUGUGCGAGCUCGUUCCAUAGCCGGCUUCGAGCUCGCCCUGCUCGGUCAUGGCGUGGACACCAGACGAGCUCCCUAGUGCUCGCCCCUCUCCAGCCGAGCUCCUCUCAUCUCUCCCUCGCGUCUUCCUCUCCCUGCCAUGGACGCCGGAGUUCCGCUACUCGCCAUGGCUGCCGGACGAGUCUCUUCCGUCUUUGCUCGACAUCUUCGAGCUUGGUUCCUGCGUGCGCGCUGCACUACUCCCAUGGCGUGUUCCUGCGCCCGGCUGGAUUUCCCUGCUGAGCUCGGUCACAUGCCUGGGCACCGUGUUCUGCACGCUCGCCGGUUUCUUCGCCUCCAUCAGCCGCGGCAACGUGCUCUUGCUGGCGCCCCUAGUCACAACUCGAGUUGUCUUUCUGGCUGGCCACCAGCGUGUCGUCUAGGGACGAUUCUUCACUGUUGCUUCUCCACGGCCGUCACCUUCCAUGGCCGGCGUUCCCCUCUCUUCCAUUGCCGCGAUGCUCCCUCGCUCCUGCUGCUCGCCGUGGCCAGCAGCUUCAAAUCCUUGUAGCAUGUCUCCGCACUCUGCGUCAUCACCGUCGUGGUUUUUGGAGUUCGUCGUGACGCGCUGCCGAUGAUCUGUGUAUAGCGGGAGAUCUUCGCAAGUUCACGCAGCUUCGUGGUAAUUAAUUUUGAUGGUGAUUUGUGUUAUUUAGCGCUAUGUUUGUUUCCUUUGUGUGUUUUUGUGUGCGACCGUGGAGAAAGAUUUGAUGCUGAAGCCGAAGCCAGCGCGAUGCUUCUCGAUUGUUCGAUGAAAUGGUCAAGUUGAGUAUUAGUGAACUAUAUUCGCUACCUCCGUUAGCAGAGUUAUUAGAUGGAUUAGCUAAGUAUGUUGAUUUGAUUAUCUUAUUUGCCUAUACCCAUAGUGGCGGUGUUAGAUAUUGGUUCAACUGCUUCGUAUAUACGGUGUGUAGUUUAAUUAAUAUCGUAAAAUAUAGUUUUAGUAUUCGAAACGAUUAGCUGUUAAGUCCUGAUAUUGUUGAUUGUACUAAUUGUAUUUAUAUAGUAAAAUCGAUAGCCUGUCUUAAUCGUCUUUUUAUCCUAUAUGUAGUAGUCGAUUAAAUGUCAUGGUUAGAUGUUACUUGUGC